CCUACGGGAGGCAGCAGUAGGGAAUAUUGCUCAAUGGGGGAAACCCUGAAGCAGCAACGCCGCGUGGAGGAUGAAGGUCUUCGGAUUGUAAACUUCUGUUGUCAGAGAAGAUAAUUACGGUAUCUAACGAAUAAGCACCGGCUAACUCCGUGCCAGCAGCCGCGGUCAUACGGAGGGUGCAAGCGUUACUCGGAUUCACUGGGCGUAAAGAGCGCGUAGGCGGGAUGGCAAGUCAGAUGUGAAAUCCUAUGGCUUAACCAGAGAACUGCAUUUGAAACUGUUAGUCUAGAGUGUGGGAGAGGUAGGUGGAAUUCUUGGUGUAGGGGUAAAAUCCGUAGAGAUCAAGAGGAAUACUCAUGGCGAAGGCGACCUGCUAGAACAUAACUGACGCUGAGGCGCGAAAGCGUGGGGAGCAAACAGGAUUAGAUACCCUAGUAGUC
rnacentral:rRNA from 1 species